UACGUAGGGUGCAAGCGUUGUCCGGAAUUACUGGGCGUAAAGCGUGCGCAGGCGGUUUGCUAAGACAGGUGUGAAAUCCCCGGGCUUAACCUGGGAACUGCGCUUGUAACUAGCAGGCUAGAGUGUGGCAGAGGGGGGUGGAAUUCCAGGUGUAGCAGUGAAAUGCGUAGAUAUCUGGAGGAACACCGAUGGCGAAGGCAGCCCCCUGGGCUAACACUGACGCUCAUGCACGAAAGCGUGGGGAGCAAACAGG
rnacentral:rRNA from 1 species